rnacentral:rRNA from 1 species
UGGGGAAUCUUCCGCAAUGGGCGAAAGCCUGACGGAGCAAUGCCGCGUGGAGGUAGAAGGCCCACGGGUCGUAAACUCCUUUUCUCGGAGAAGAAGCAGUGACGGUAUCCGAAGAAUAAGCAUCGGCUAACUCUGUGCCAGCAGCCGCGGUAAGACAGGGGAUGCAAGCGUUAUCCGGAAUGAUUGGGCGUAAAGCGUCUGUAGGUGGCUCCUUAAGUCCGCUGUCAAAUCCCAGGGCUCAACCCUGGGCAGGCGGUGGAAACUACUAAGCUGGAGUACGGUAGGGGCAGGGGGAAUUUCCGGUGGAGCGGUGAAAUGCGUAGAGAUCGGAAAGAACACCAAAGGCGAAGGCACCCUGCUGGGCCGACACUGACACUGAGAGACGAAAGCUAGGGGAGCGAAUGGG